AUUCCUAAGUCAAGUCUUUGCUGUUACCAUCAAUAACUGCUAACUCAGAGGAUGCAACCUUAGUAAUUCAUUUCCUUAAUGGCCAGUUUCACAAAGAGGCUGCAGGAAGCUGCUUCCAGCAGUCUGAGUCCUGAGGAGGAGACGAUAACAGUGGGAGAAGCACCUGGUAACAGCGGCACUUCAUCCAGGAAGAAAACAGGAUCUAAAAUAUAAACAACAUCCUUACAACACAAAAUAUGAGCGUCCAUCAUGGACCAACCAAUAACUUCAAUAAAAGUGCUGUAUCCCCUGGCAGAUGAUGAGUAUCUUCAAGAUGGUGCCCAAAGGAGAGAGAGAAUAAACUUGAACAUUCUGACUUUGAAGCACACUGCAUUGCCUCACAGCUAAAUUCCCACUGGAUUGUUGGUCUGAAUCACCGAUUGAAAAAUCAAAUGUCUUCAGGGACCCGGCAGGAUCCCGAAGGACGCCGCUCUAAGCCAGAGGGAGCGGUGUGUGUUGUGGCUGAAGUGGAAAAUACAAGCCCAGUUUAAGGGCAUUCAAACAUGAAUUGUUUUUUUUAAAGCCGUGCGAGUCAAACAAAACAUGUCAGCAGUUCUUAUUAGGCUAACAGGUUGCUGGUUUG
rnacentral:lncRNA from 1 species